GGUACCCGCACAGCCCACUAGUCGUCGCCCUCCCAGCUCCCUAUCGCCUGCGCUGCACAGCCGCCGCCAUGGCGAACCCUAGCGCUGCCUCCUCGGCGUUCCCGUCGCCGUAUAUUGCGGCGAUUACUCCGCUCAUGCUGCCUCCAUUGCCGCCGUCUCCUACAUCCGGAGAGAAUGCUUCAUCGCCCGCAACGGCACCUGUGCGCUGCCCAUGGUGCCCUGCGCUGGUCCUUCUCCACCUUUGAGGCAAUGAGUGAAGGGGAGAGAAGGAAGCAAUUACAGGUUAGGUUUCUUGCUGGCCGCUGCUGCCCCCGCCCGCAGCCUGCUUUCUCUCGCCGCUCCUCGCAGCCGGCCGCCGGCCGCCGCGGCCUCGGGCUCCCAUAGCUGGCCGUCGUGCGCCGCUGCUUGGGCUCUCGUAGGCUCGUAGCAGGCCGCCUGAGCUCCGCAGAGGUUGGCUGAGGAGCUGCGGCGUGGCUUCGGGGCAAGGCCGCAGAGGCCGAGUGCCAGGCAUAUAAUCAUCUAUGCAUCCAUCCACCGCCGUGGUCGUUUGCUGAUCCUCGUCCACCGUUGUCUUCAGAAAAUUGGGAGGCAAUCAGGGAAGGAAAGAGCACAGGGACCAAAGGUCUACAGAAAUCUUUUGGACCCGAGAGCUAGGAAGGAAGGAUCAAUGGCACAAGAUUGUCUAGCUAUGAAAUCUUUUGCUUUGUUCAAACCCAGUGAUGCUCUACUAGUGCAUGGUGUUCCAAGCAAAUAGUGUAGUAAUUGGUGGAUCACAUACAGCAGGACUGCAUGACAGAUGAUGUUGCCUCAUAAUUACUGCAAUAUAUUAUCGUGUUCUUUGUAUUUUUCCAGCUUUUAUUUGAUUUUUGGAGAUAUUUUAAAGCCUGUGAACUGGUCCAGUAUGUACUAUGAGUCAUUAGCUGUUCGUUCUUA